CCAUGCUAACACUUUGAAGGACAGCAUCUCCUCUUCUCUCUGCAUCUUAUAGACACUUUACAAAGGAACUCAGUAUCGUUCUUUUAUAUUACAGAUGGGAAAAUCUAGGUACAAAUACAUGCAGUGAUUUGCUCCAGAAAGGCCAAGAUAACGAGGCUGGCAAAAAACAACCUCUGAACAGACAUCAGUAACAAAACAACAAAGAUAUGCAACAAAUAAUGAAUAUACAUUAGCAGAAGCAAGAAGGUGAUCUCUAAUAAGAACCACAUACUGCAGACAGGAGACUGUCCCUGGUGAUCGUAGCUUACACUCAGGACUAAAAGAGCAAACAUAGACUGGAAAACAGUACCAUUCAUCAAAGGACUCCUCUCAAGCACAGAAAACCUGCAACUUCACGUGGACAAGAAAGAAAACUGGCAAAACUCAAGAAUUCAAUCCAGAUCUCAUCAAGCUCCAGGA